GAGGGGGAGUGUUAGAAUAAGUAUAGGGGUAGUUUGGUCUUUUGGCUUCUUUCUUCUUUUCUAUAUAAAGGCCUAACUCGUGGUUCCUAAAUAUACGAGAUUUUAGGUUUUACUUUGUAGAGUAACCAACUCGGCUUUGCCCAGGGCAAUUCCAAAAGCAAUCUUGCUACUAUGUGUAGAUGCCCAGGUUUCUUAACAUUGAAGAUGCAGAACAAGAGUAUUCCUGUUGCAUUUAUUGAUUUUGAGGUACUAAGAUAAACCCAUACACUUUCAUUAUGGAGUCAAUAAAUGACUACCUGUAUAAGUGUACUUGUUUUGAUCCUUAUUCUUUUAGUUUCCUUAUUUUUUGUGCAAAUCCGAGUGAAAGAUAGUAUAUUAGGCAGUUAAAAGCUAUAGACACUUCUCAUCAUUGACUCCAAAUAUAUUGCUUUCAGUAAUCAACUGUCAACACAUUCUAGUAGUUGUCUUGAUAAACCUAGCGUGAAAUUGUUUUUGCCACGUUGGUACAAGUAUUCAAAAUAGUUAUCAAUCCGAUUGUUUGACAUGACUAUUUCUAACUUUUUUUUAACAUUAUUAAAAGAAAGUGUCCACUGGGAGUGUCAAAUGUCCUGAGCGUCGGGUGUCCAACACGGGUAUAGAUAGGGUAGACGAAGAGUCCAAGUAUCAUAGGGGUAUAGGAGGAUUGAAAGGGAGUUUAGCUUCAACAAUAACUCUUCCUUUUGUAUUCUGAAAUCAGCAUCCUUGAGUCAAUUCAUCAUAAGGCUACAAUCUCACUGGAAAUUUCAUUGGACUGUAAUUCCUUGUUGAAUGUGGUUUUCUGCAAUGAAACCGGAUGUCGGUAGUUCUACCGCUGCUUUAAAUCAUCUGCAAGGAACCUUUCUUCUCUCAUCAGUAAGGAACGGCAUGUGGUUGGAGUAUCCUUUUCAGUAUGAUCUUCCUAAUUUCUUGCUAGUAGAUAAGUGGCACAACAGCUUCUCGUGCAUGGCAAUUAAAUCAUGUACUUGAGAAAGCAAGCAAAGUCCUGCUGAUGGCCAAGUUGGACUGUGGCAGAUCAGGAGCAGCUUGUGAGAGAAGCGUGUGAGGUGGACAGUGACACGGCACCAAACACUGUUCUUCAUUGAUCCUUCCUUCAUCGUGAUCGAUGGUAUAAAAACUUAAUAAAUGAAUUAAAUAAAGUUCAUCCAUCAAAUUCCUUUUGGCAGGAGAAAUAAUGACAGAGACUUCACCUCCUGCCUAAAGCAAACUCAGGAAUAUUAAUUACUUAACUCCUCCACCUCCUCGAGAAGCUAGCAGCCAUGGAGCAUCAUUGGAUACAUCAGUAGGAUCCAGUACUCCUCAUGGCCUGGUUUGGCUCCCUCUUCUCUCCUCUCAGGAAGCUUUGGCUCACCUUGCGUUCUGCUCGCAGCAGCAAGAAGACGAAGGGGAUUUCUAUCCUGUACGAGGACGUGAAGUCCUGUCAGUGCGAGGAUGUGCAGAUCUUGUGGUCUAUCCUUGUGGAAUCAUCUCAUUCUCCUUCUUCCAGAUUGAAGCAGUGAUGAUCUGCGAAUAGAAUAACUUAUGUAUCAGAGGAUGAUGAGCUUUGUCUGCCAUAGUUUCUCUGUAAAAAAGUAGUUUUUAAUAAUAUUUUCUUUAAAAAAAUCUUGAAUAUAAUGUCUUCUGUUCUUGUGCUUGCAGAAAAAAUGCUUUA